UCUCUCACUGAAAAUGCCAGCCAGAACUCGCCACGUCACCCUAGGUGAAGUUACCAUAAGGGCCUAAGGCUCCUCCUCUUGUUCCAGUCCUUCCCCCUUUUGUUAAAUUGUUAUUAGCUACAUAGUUGGGGGGCUAUUAUUAAGAUUUGGCCAGCAAUAUCAUUCACUCUUGUCAGAAGUGGAGUUCUUUGAAAUUCUUUCUUCGUUCUUGAGGCCAGCAAGCAAACUCCAAAAACAACCAGAACCUACCUAAAAGAUUCACUUAAAAGAGAACCACAAGACCCUACAAGAUAAUGCAAGAAUCUUUAGCUGAACCAGAACCAGGAGAUGAAGUGGUGAAACGUAAGUUCUUCCUCAGUUAUGGCACUCUCUAAGCUUCCUCUCUCCACUAUCUUCUUCUUGUUGUACACUUCGCUUUUUACAAUAUCACAAGCUUUAUCAUCGAAAAUAGCAGUGGCGCAAAAUCAAGCCCAAAACGACGUCGAUUAACGUCUAUUAAGUAUAAAAAAAAGAGACCGGGUCUUAGGCGGGUUUGACCGGGUGGCCCGGGUCCCGGGUCGACCCUCCGGGUCGACCGGGUUUCACCGGGCCAACUCCCAAGCGGGUUUUUGCCUCCACCCGGACCGGUCCCAUGCCCGGGUCGGCCGGGUCCCGGGUCGACCCACCGGACCGGUCCGGGUUUUAAAACUCUGCGUGACACUAUGAUAUCCUUAUUUUCUAUUUUACCUCUACUUUACUUUACUAAGAUGUCCUCUAUGCCAUUAUGAUAACUCUACUAGAAACUUUAAGGAAUAAACUUUGUUUGUUUGAUUCCAUUAUAAUGUAUGUUUUGUGCUUUAUAUGCUGAAUAUUUACUUGUUUUUUUUUCUAAA